rnacentral:rRNA from 1 species
CUGUGAGCUCGAUGAGUAGGGCGGGACACGUGGUAUCCUGUCUGAAUAUGGGGGGACCAUCCUCCAAGGCUAAAUACUCCUGACUGACCGAUAGUGAACCAGUACCGUGAGGGAAAGGCGAAAAGAACCCCGGCGAGGGGAGUGAAAAAGAACCUGAAACCGUGUACGUACAAGCAGUGGGAGCACGCUUAGGCGUGUGACUGCGUACCUUUUGUAUAAUGGGUCAGCGACUUAUAUUCUGUAGCAAGGUUAACCGAAUAGGGGAGCCGAAGGGAAACCGAGUCUUAACUGGGCGUUAAGUUGCAGGGUAUAGACCCGAAACCCGGUGAUCUAGCCAUGGGCAGGUUGAAGGUUGGGUAACACUAACUGGAGGACCGAACCGACUAAUGUUGAAAAAUUAGCGGAUGACUUGUGGCUGGGGGUGAAAGGCCAAUCAAACCGGGAGAUAGCUGGUUCUCCCCGAAAGCUAUUUAGGUAGCGCCUCGUGAAUUCAUCUCCGGGGGUAGAGCACUGUUUCGGCAAGGGGGUCAUCCCGACUUACCAACCCGAUGCAAACUGCGAAUACCGGAGAAUGUUAUCACGGGAGACACACGGCGGGUGCUAACGUCCGUCGUGAAGAGGGAAACAACCCAGACCGCCAGCUAAGGUCCCAAAGUCAUGGUUAAGUGGGAAACGAUGUGGGAAGGCCCAGACAGCCAGGAUGUUGGCUUAGAAGCAGCCAUCAUUUAAAGAAAGCGUAAUAGCUCACUGGUCGAGUCGGCCUGCGCGGAAGAUGUAACGGGGCUAAACCAUGCACCGAAGCUGCGGCAGCGACGCUUAUGCGUUGUUGGGUAGGGGAGCGUUCUGUAAGCCUGCGAAGGUGUGCUGUGAGGCAUGCUGGAGGUAUCAGAAGUGCGAAUGCUGACAUAAGUAACGAUAAAGCGGGUGAAAAGCCCGCUCGCCGGAAGACCAAGGGUUCCUGUCCAACGUUAAUCGGGGCAGGGUGAGUCGACCCCUAAGGCGAGGCCGAAAGGCGUAGUCGAUGGGAAACAGGUUAAUAUUCCUGUACUUGGUGUUACUGCGAAGGGGGGACGGAGAAGGCUAUGUUGGCCGGGCGACGGUUGUCCCGGUUUAAGCGUGUAGGCUGGUUUUCCAGGCAAAUCCGGAAAAUCAAGGCUGAGGCGUGAUGACGAGGCACUACGGUGCUGAAGCAACAAAUGCCCUGCUUCCAGGAAAAGCCUCUAAGCAUCAGGUAACAUCAAAUCGUACCCCAAACCGACACAGGUGGUCAGGUAGAGAAUACCAAGGCGCUUGAGAGAACUCGGGUGAAGGAACUAGGCAAAAUGGUGCCGUAACUUCGGGAGAAGGCACGCUGAUAUGUAGGUGAAGUCCCUCGCGGAUGGAGCUGAAAUCAGUCGAAGAUACCAGCUGGCUGCAACUGUUUAUUAAAAACACAGCACUGUGCAAACACGAAAGUGGACGUAUACGGUGUGACGCCUGCCCGGUGCCGGAAGGUUAAUUGAUGGGGUCAGCGCAAGCGAAGCUCUUGAUCGAAGCCCCGGUAAACGGCGGCCGUAACUAUAACGGUCCUAAGGUAGCGAAAUUCCUUGUCGGGUAAGUUCCGACCUGCACGAAUGGCGUAAUGAUGGCCAGGCUGUCUCCACCCGAGACUCAGUGAAAUUGAACUCGCUGUGAAGAUGCAGUGUACCCGCGGCAAGACGGAAAGACCCCGUGAACCUUUACUAUAGCUUGACACUGAACAUUGAGCCUUGAUGUGUAGGAUAGGUGGGAGGCUUGGAAGUGUGGACGCCAGUCUGCAUGGAGCCGACCUUGAAAUACCACCCUUUAAUGUUUGAUGUUCUAACGUUGACCCGUAAUCCGGGUUGCGGACAGUGUCUGGUGGGUAGUUUGACUGGGGCGGUCUCCUCCUAAAGAGUAACGGAGGAGCACGAAGGUUGGCUAAUCCUGGUCGGACAUCAGGAGGUUAGUGCAAUGGCAUAAGCCAGCUUGACUGCGAGCGUGACGGCGCGAGCAGGUGCGAAAGCAGGUCAUAGUGAUCCGGUGGUUCUGAAUGGAAGGGCCAUCGCUCAACGGAUAAAAGGUACUCCGGGGAUAACAGGCUGAUACCGCCCAAGAGUUCAUAUCGACGGCGGUGUUUGGCACCUCGAUGUCGGCUCAUCACAUCCUGGGGCUGAAGUAGGUCCCAAGGGUAUGGCUGUUCGCCAUUUAAAGUGGUACGCGAGCUGGGUUUAGAACGUCGUGAGACAGUUCGGUCCCUAUCUGCCGUGGGCGCUGGAGAACUGAGGGGGGCUGCUCCUAGUACGAGAGGACCGGAGUGGACGCAUCACUGGUGUUCGGGUUGUCAUGCCAAUGGCACUGCCCGGUAGCUAAAUGCGGAAGAGAUAAGUGCUGAAAGCAUCUAAGCACGAAACUUGCCCCGAGAUGAGUUCUCCCUGACUCCUUGAGAGUCCUGAAGGAACGUUGAAGACGACGACGUUGAUAGGCCGG